GUGUGAGUGUAACAUGGUGUUUUGGGCCUGAGGGUUGUUUGCAGUGAUUCACGGUGUGUUCUGAGUGAUGUGGUGUAGUGUUUCACAUGAGUGUAGUGGUGAUUGGCACACUUUAAUUGAGCACUGAGCCCGAACCUUUUCUACCGCACGUGUGUAGCAUGAUCACUAAUUAAGCACAGGUGCCUAGCAUUAUGCCACUCCCCUCCUUAGGUGUUUCCCAUCACAAUGUUCCUAUUUAUACCCGUGUCCACAAGCUAAUGACAGUAUUGUCUGACGCUGUGUCCAUGUAUUAAGGUUGGUGAUCGCGAUAUUCUUUGGUGUGGGCUCUAUACUUUCUCUGGGUUUCAUGUAAUUGAAAUUGAGUAUUGUCUGACGCUGUGUCCAUGUAUUAAGGUUGGACCGGAGGAGAGUUGCUUGCGGACUGCCGGCCAUUGACCCUGUCCAAGCUGUGUCGUGUGUGUGAAUGAGAAUCAGAGAACCAGAAGAGCGUCUGGCUUGGCCGUGUCCCGGGAGAACGAGACUGACGCGCACGGUGCUGAAACCAUACGAACCAACUGGACACCCAGACAGACAUUUGAACUUUGAGUGCUGGCACUACUUUUAGGAAGCGCAUUUUAAUGUUUUAUAUUUAUUAUCAAUUCCCUGGAGUCGCUAAAUAAAUCUCUUUUAUUAUUAAGCACGGUGUUCUGAUUUCUCUUGCACGUAUUCUGAGCUUUGCGUCUGAGCCUCAACCUCCCUUUUAGGGUGUGUUACAACUGGCGUAGUCGGCAGGAUGUAAAGAAACAAUCAGAGUCGUGCAAGAGAAAUUAUGACUGAGCCAGGUAGUUCAGCAAGCCCCAGAAUGAUGCCAAUAUACAUGGCAAACAUGAUUAUAUUCAAGUUUCGAGGCAAAGAUUCAGACUGUAGUCUUGGAGAAUGGAAGAGACAGUUAAACACACUAUUUAAUCUCCAAAAGAUUCCGGUCGAAUUCAGAGCGGACUUUACACUUAGCUGCUUGGAAGGGACUGCAAAAAGACAAAUUCUAAUUCUACCCCAAGAGAGAAGAAAGACAGCUGAAUUGAUAUUUAAAAAAUUAGAAGAGCUAUAUGGAGAUCAAGCCUCUGCCUCGGUCCUGCGCGCCCAGUUUUUUAAUAUCACCCAAGAGCCUCAAGAAGACAUUGAUAGCUUUGCUCUCCAGAUUCAAGAACACUUUGCCAGGCUGAAAAGGAGAGAUGCUCGAGGACUAAGAGACGAGGAUGUCCUGCUCCGUGAUGUUCUCAUCGAUGGCCUAAGAGAUCCAGCCAUGCGGGAGCUCCAACAGGCCUCGCCAAGAAGGGCGCAACAAACAUCGACGCAGGGACGGAAUCAUCAUACACCUGACCGCAGGGGCCCCAUGGCGUCCAGCAGCCAAUCAGUAUGACGAGCAAGGUAGGCCAAUAUGCAACAACUGUGCACAAUCAGGACAUACUGCCCGUUACUGUAGAGUAUCCAAUCCGUCUGGACCGGCUCCUUUAAACUAGUUAGCACCACUGUGGCGGGCCAGACAGUGGGUAGUGGGAACAACAACGGCCCAAAUAAAGAUUCAGUGGAUAAAUUAGUCGGAGGGGUC
ensembl:lncRNA